GUCGAUUUCGUCAUUAACCGAGGCCAACCACCGUCGAUUGAGAAAAACCCGCCAUGGAAGGUGAUUUACAUUUCGUACUAUGUCUCCGCCGCCGUUGUUUCUUCAUGGAAGGUGAUUUACGUUUCUUCAUGGAAGGUGAUUUACGUUUCGUACUAUGUCUCCACCUCUAGCUUUCACUCGAUCUGAGACUGCUCCGCCGGAUUAGCCUCUCCAGCUCUUCAUCCUCGACCAUUGAUGCCGUGGUGGCAGAUGUAGAUACGGAAGUAGAAGACGUGAAGAGGAGGAGGUGGUUGUGGAUGCUGUGAUGGUGGAUGCUAUGGUGGUGGAUUUGGAUACAGAGGUGGAGGACAUGAGGAGGAGGAAGUGGUGGUUUAGUUUUGUCUGAGUUCUCGAU